rnacentral:rRNA from 1 species
UGACCUCGAAUCAGGUAGGACUACCCG